GAGCCCUCUUCCCACCACAGGGGUGGCUGGGUGGUCAAUCAGUGGCUCCCACUGGCCUUGGUCAGCACGGCCUGGCCUGCGGGUGGACAAGGCUUGAGUCGGGGGGGGGGGUUUCCUGGAGAACUGGUUGAGAGGAGUUGGAGAGGAGGGUACAUUGGGCAACGAGGUGGUGGUGGGGGCUCAGAGGGAGGGACCCCUCUGUGAGCAAAGGUGGUGCACAUCAUCCUCUGGGCUGGGCUGCAGGCCAGCCGUUUUGCCAGGGCUCAGUCCAGGGGUCCACAGCCAAGAGAUGUGCCGACUGCACCCCAAAAUACCACGAGGCCCCCACGGGGCUUCCUCCCUUGCCCCCAAAUCCUCCCACGUAAACGUGGCUGCCCAACCGUCCUCCUGGGGGGGGGCAGCUCCUCUCUCACCAAAAGAACUGCAGAGUCAGUGGCAGGCAGGCAGCCCCCCCCCCGCGUGGCCGGGAAAUGGGGGGGGGGCAAACCAAGCAGGGAGAGGCUUUCAGCCUCGGGCAACCUCUGCAGCAGGAGGAGGAGGAGGAGGAGGUCCCGCCUGGAAAGAGGCAACGACCCCGCUGGCAUCCCUGAGCUGCCCAGAAUCAUCGAGGCCAUCUUAAAUCCCGGGGAGAGCAAAGAGGGAAAGGAAAGCCAGUUCGGGAGCACCCAAGGCAGUGGGGCUGCCGCGCGUGUGCGUGUGUCUCCUCCCCCCCCCGCCCAUCUUGAAGGGCGGGGAGAACACCUGGCAGGCAGGGGUCCAAGGUGGUUGUGCCCCCCCCUCCCCGGCCUUCCAGGAGUUGUGCCUGGGGGUCUGGGCUGGGUGGGGGCAGAGCCUGGAGAUCCGUCUGGGUCAGGGAGAGAAAGCCUUUCCGGCCCGGCGAGGAACACGAACACACACACGCACACACUUCUAGCAAAGGGGCCCAAAGGCCGGCCUGCCUGCGGAGGGGUCCAAGGUGGCGGUGCCCCCCCCUCCCGGGCCUUCCAGGAGUUGUGCCUGGGGGUCUGGGCUGGGUGGGGGCAGAGCCUGGAGAUCCGUCUGGGUCAGGGAGAGAAAGCCUUUCCGGCCCGGCGAGGAACACGAACACACACACGCACACACUUCUAGCAAAGGGGCCCAAAGGCCGGCCUGCCUGCGGCUUUGGGGGGCUCCACAGCUCCCCCCCCUCGCAACACCCCGGNNNNNNNNNNNNNNNNN
rnacentral:lncRNA from 1 species